AAGGCAUAUCUGCACUUAGGAGAGGAACUGUCUUGUCCAAUAAAUUUUCAGGUAUGUCUUCAGUUGCCUGAGACAUGGGCAGAAUGAUGUAAU
rnacentral:lncRNA from 1 species